UCACUCUUAGCGGUGGAUCACUUGGCUCGUGGAUCGAUGAAGAACGCAGCUAGCUGCGAUAAAUAGUGCGAAUUGCAGACACAUUGAGCACUAAAAUUUCGAACGCACAUUGCGCCAUCGGGUUCAUUCCCGUUGGUAUGUCUGGCUGAGGGUUAAUU
rnacentral:rRNA from 2 species